AGGACGUCCCCUUCCCUUCCUUGCUAGCUAGCUGUAUUGAUUUGGGUUGGUCCAAUCCAAUCCAUUCCAGCCACGUAGUUUGGCUGUAACAUAGGAGAGGGACACCUACAGUUGAGCUUCAGUUUGGACAGCAUUUGACACAUAUGGAUUGGGGGAUUUGGUUUACUUCAAUUUGUAUGUGCAUUCCUAAAACUUAAAAUGAAAUUGCUUGGGCAUUCAAUUCCUAUGAACCAAUCUGCCAAAUUUUCUAUUUAACUUGUGCUGCACCAAAAACUUAAUUUUUUCUGUUUUAUUUACCAAAUUUGUAGAGGCUUGAUAGAUAUCAAUGUCACCCUGCUGUUAGUUUGCUUGCUCUGGGUCUUGGGGGGUUGGGGAGUGUUGGGGCCUCACUCUACCCAGCUGCAAGAAGCUGGCUGGGGGAGCACUACUGUUUAGUAGUACAUUAUCGCCACUUGUCAGGUUUAUACUGUUUUUUAGCAUUUCAUGGCCGAGAGUGAUGUUGUGAAAUGGCCGAACAUAUAUAGAUGUUACCAUGGAAUUGAACCACAGUGUGAUUUAUGUGUGUUAUCAAAUGAACCCUCCUAAUGAUUUGUUAAAUGCUUGUUUGUGGUUUUUUCUUGCAUAAUCUGCUCUUGUUGCUUCUACAUUCAGUUCUUGCUUGCGUAUAAUUUUCUAUUGUAAUGAUUCAGUUCUUGCUUAUAUUCAUAAUUUGUGGUGUGUGUAAUCUUCUAUGUAAGGAUUAAGUUCUUGCUUCCGUAUAAUCUGCUUCUGUAUUCUAUUCUCGUGUAACCUUGCUUUGUAAUGAUUCAGUUUCUGCUUCCAUAUUCUGUUCCUGUAUAAUUGGCUCUGUGGUACUCAAGGGAUUGCCGCCCAAGGACGUCGGCCGCUGCCGUGCUGUCAGUAUGUUGUGGCUGGUUGCUUAGUUUCUUACUGUUCCUAAUCCACACUCAUAUAGGUACUAGGCGAUCAUGUAGGUUAAGUUAGAGUUGUUUCUGGCAUGCACGAGGGGAAGGGCGAAAUGGCUCGGUUUGCUGAUGCUUUUAUUGCUAUACUAGGCAGCUAUGGAACCUUGGAGGAGUUGCUUGAAGUCAUCACGUGGGCACAACUAGGAAUAAAGAUGAUGGAUUUUGUACUACUGUAUUUCUGAAAAUGCGUGUACACAGAAUUGCAAUCCGAAGGAGCAAUGUUUGACACUUAGUCUGUGUUAUUGGAGAUUGAUGUUUUUGGCAGGAAUUACUUGGGUCAGCUGCCUGGAAGUGGUGCUGUAGUGUUGGAGUUCAAAUCAGCUAGUAGUGCAUUGUAGUCGUGUUACUUGAAUUCUUAAAAAAAUGCUUAUAGUGUGUUCUAAAUAUGCUUGUGAUGUUUCGAUAUUAAGCUUUGGUUUUGGACAUCAGACUAGAUUGUUGGAAAACUGUAUUGUCUUAUGGACAAAUGCUAUUAUUUGAAUGAAUAUAAUUUG